rnacentral:rRNA from 1 species
AACGAACGCUGGCGGCGUGCCUAAGACAUGCAAGUCGUACGGAAAGGCCCUCUUCGGAGGGCGCUCGAGUGGCGCACGGGUGAGUAACGCGUGGGCAAUCUACCUUUGGGUCUGGGACAACCCCGGGAAACUGGGGCUAAUACUGGAUAAGACCACGAGCUCCUCGGAGCUUGCGGGAAAAGAUGGCCUCUCCUUGGAAGCUAUCGCCCUUCGAUGAGCCCGCGUCCCAUUAGCUAGUUGGUGAGGUGACGGCUCACCAAGGCUUUGAUGGGUAGCUGGUCUGAGAGGAUGAUCAGCCACACUGGAACUGAGACACGGUCCAGACUCCUACGGGAGGCAG